rnacentral:rRNA from 1 species
GAUGAACGCUGGCGGCGUGCCUAAUACAUGCAAGUCGAGCGAACGGACCAUAAUCUUGCUUCUUUGAUGUUAGCCGCGGACGGGUGAGUAACACGUGUAUACCCUCCCUAUCUGACUGGUAUAUCUUCGGGAAUCCGGCACUAAUACCGUAUGAUCUUUUGCACCGCAUGGUUCAAAAGUGAAAUACGGUCUUUCUGUCUCUUCUAGCUGGAUCCGCGCUGCAUUAGAUAGUUGGUACGGUAACGGCUUACCAAGGCAACGAUGCAUAGCCGACGUGAGAGAGUGAUAGGCGACACGGGAGCUGAGACACGGACAAGGGGACUAAGAGAGGCAGCAGAAGGGAAUCUGACGCAAUGGGCGAAAGCAUGACGGAGCAAGGGCGAGUGAGUGAUGAAGGUCUUGGGAGCGUAAAAAUGUGUUACUAGGGAAGAACAUAUGUGGAAGUAACUGUGCAGAGCGUGACGGUAACGAAUCAGAAAGCAACGGCUAACUACGUG